rnacentral:rRNA from 1 species
AUUGAACGCUGGCGGCAGGCCUAACACAUGCAAGUCGAACGGUAACAGGGAUCAGCUUGCUGAUUCGCUGACGAGUGGCGGACGGGUGAGUAAUGUCUGGGGAACUGCCUGAUGGAGGGGGAUAACUACUGGAAACGGUAGCUAAUACCGCAUAACGUCGCAAGACCAAAGAGGGGGACCUUCGGGCCGCUUGCCCUCGGAUGUGCCCAGAUGGGCUUUGCUAGUAGGUGGGGUAACGGCUCACCUAGGCGACGAUCCCGAGCUGGUCUGAGAGGAUGACCAGCCACACUGGAACUGAGACACGGUCCAGACUCCUACGGGAGGCAGCAGUGGGGAAUAUUGCACAAUGGGCGCAAGCCUGAUGCAGCCAUGCCGCGUGUAUGAAGAAGGCCUUCGGGUUGUAAAGUACUUUCAGCGGGGAGGAAGGGAGUAAAGUUAAUACCUUUGCUCAUUGACGUUACCCGCAGAAGAAGCACCGGCUAACUCCGUG